AACGAACGCUGGCGGCAGGCCUAACACAUGCAAGUCGAACGCACCGCAAGGUGAGUGGCGCACGGGUGAGUAACACGUGGGAAUGUAUCCGUUGGUUCGGAAUAACGUCUGGAAACGGACGCCAAUACCGGAUGAGCCCUUAGGGGGAAAGAUUUAUCGCCGAAGGAGCAGCCCGCGUCUGAUUAGGUAGUUGGUGGGGUAAAGUCCUACCAAACCGACGAUCAGUCGCUGGUAUGAGAGGACAAUCAGCCACACUGGUACCGAGACACUGCCCAGACUCCUACGGGAUGCAGCAGUGGGGAAUAUUAGACAAUGGGCGCACGCCUGAUCCAGCCAUGCCGCGUGAGUGAUGAAGGCCUUCCGGUUGUAAAGCUCUUUCGCACACGACGAUGAUGACGGUAGUGUGAGAAGACGCCCCGGCUAACUUCGUGCCAGCCGCCGCGGUAAAAC
rnacentral:rRNA from 1 species